rnacentral:rRNA from 2 species
CUUUCAACAACGGAUCUCUUGGUUCCAGCAUCGAUGAAGAACGCAGCGAAAUGCGAUAAGUAAUGUGAAUUGCAGAAUUCAGUGAAUCAUCGAAUCUUUGAACGCACAUUGCGCCCCCUGGUAUUCCGGGGGG